rnacentral:piRNA from 1 species
UGGGAAAUGAUGACUUUCUAAAGAUG